GCCGCCGUAGUAUAGCCCGGUCAAGUAUGCGGGCCUCUCGAGCCCGUGACACCCUAAGGCCCGUUGAGGAGAGGGUGCGGGAGACCCGGGUUCAAAUCCCGGCGGCGGCA
rnacentral:tRNA from 2 species